rnacentral:tRNA from 1 species
AAAAAAUUAGUUAAAUUAAAUAACAUUAGUAUGUCAAACUAAAAUUAUCUAUAAAUAAAGAUAUUUUUUA